CCAAGGAUAUACUUGGUUGAAUUUUUAAUUUUGGUUGGUUUGUGUUAGAUGUUUGAUAUGUUUAUUUAAUGCAAGCCUUGCCUAUAAUAUAUAGAUACCAACGAUUCCGGGAGCUGUAGAAUGCAAUAUUUUUGGGAGAUGCAAUAGCUAUCUUCAUUACUCAUUAGCAUUGUUAGAAAAUGAUAUAAAGAAAAUAUGUGGGGCAUUGGUUAACUUUGGAGUUUUAAUGGGAAAAUUCCAAACAUUCUUUUCAUUGGAUGAAAUGCUUUCCCUUGUGAGUGGAGAAUAAAGUAAAUCAACCUUACAAAUUAUUGAUUUAUCCAGUCGAACAAUGCCCAUUCUGAGAUGAAAAUUGAAUCUUUUAUGCAGCCUGUAGGAUCAGAUAUUCAAGCCCAGCAAGUUAGUAGCAAACGUUGAUUUCCAUUUGUUCAAGAUCGUAGGCCAUAGGCAAAUAUCUUUUGCUGUCAAUGUAAACCAUGACGUCAACGAGGCUUUUGUCUUCUGCUUGUUGUCGACAAGUUCAUGCUUUUCAUUAUACUUUGUUGCCUGUGCUUACCGUGCAAUGUUCUUAUGCUGGACAUGAGGUUUUCGUGUUUUGGACUUUCAAAUUCACCAAGUCUACCCAUCCAAAUUCUACAGAAAACACUUUCAAAUAUAAGAAUUAAUUAGCGGGCAAGGGUUUUUGUAGAUGGAGAUGCAAGGUUGGCGGGAGUUCUUAAUAAAAGAAUGAUAAGAAGAGGAGGUGUGUUCUUGUUGGAUAUUUGAAUCAAGUUUAAUGAAUAUGAUCAAGGGAAAAUCGUCAACUUCUGUUUUGUGUAGUAAUCCAGGUCACUGAAACUAUAUUUUCGGCUUGAAUUUCAACCUUCAUGGACUAGAUCUUAGGCUACUUAUAAGACUCGCAGCAGUUUUAUUCCUCUGUUCGGAGUUACAAGGCACAAACUGGAAAAUCUAAAGGAACUAAAUUGAAUUGGAUUGCGGCAAAGUGUCCUCGAUCAACAACCGGGAUCACUAGAGUGUGGCUACUACGUCAUACGUUUUGUGUACGAUAUAUUUACAAAGCAUCGUGAUAGUCAAGAUCUUACUACGGAUUAUUCAAGUACAUAGCCUUUUUCAUUUGAGGAGAUUAAUGAGGUUGAAGAAUUUUGGGCAGAUUACUUUUUGACCAAUUCCGAUUUAGAUCUAGCUAGCUAGUUUGUUGUAAUAUUUGUUUGUUAAGUUCGUUAUCAACAUGUUGGUUGAACGAUAUGAUGGAUAUUGCCUUUUAAUGGGGUUGUAAAUUUGUAUUUGACAGGUUUAUGUGUGUAUUAUUAUAAUUCCCGAUUAUUGGGAAGGGUCAUAUUACAAAGGAGAUUAUGGCGAAAUUUUCAACUAUAUAUUCCACUAUUUGUUUAUCCCUGUA